rnacentral:rRNA from 1 species
CCUACGGGCGGCAGCAGUGGGGAAUAUUGGACAAUGGGGGGAACCCUGAUCCAGCGACGCCGCGUGAGUGAAGAAGUAUUUCGGUAUGUAAAGCUCUAUCAGCAGGGAAGAAAGAAAUGACGGUACCUGACUAAGAAGCCCCGGCUAACUACGUGCCAGCAGCCGCGGUAAUACGUAGGGGGCAAGCGUUAUCCGGAUUUACUGGGUGUAAAGGGAGCGUAGACGGCGAUGCAAGUCUGAAGUGAAAGGCGGGGGCCCAACCCCCGGACUGCUUUGGAAACUGUAUGGCUGGAGUGCAGGAGAGGUAAGUGGAAUUCCUAGUGUAGCGGUGAAAUGCGUAGAGAUUAGGAGGAACACCAGUGGCGAAGGCGGCUUACUGGACUGUAACUGACGUUGAGGCUCGAAAGCGUGGGGAGCAAACAGGAUUAGAUACCCUUGUAGUC